rnacentral:rRNA from 1 species
GAGCUAAAUAUAAUUGCAAGAUUGGUUGGCUGGUCAAAGGUGUGGCAAAACCUUAGUUGAAAUUGUAUUUAGGGGUGAUAGGCCGUUCAAAAACUAAGAUAUCUUGACUCCAAUGAAAUGUAUUUAGUACAGUUUACACAUUUUCUAAGUGAUUAGGCUUAGCAACAAUAUAAAUUUAUAUGGUUUUACUAUGUUACGUUAUAAUAAACAAAUAUACAUUAAAGAUAAUAUACUUUUCUUAAAGUUUAUAAUAUAAUAAUUGGAUAUAAUUAAGCUUAUAUAUAUAUUUGAAUAAUGUUGGUAUUAGUAUAUGCGUAAGUUUUUCAUAAGGAACUCGGCAAAAUUGUUCCUCAACUGUUUAUCAAAAACAUAACUGUGUGCAUAUAAUACAUAGCGGUAUCUGCUCAAUGUUUUAUAUAAAUAGCCGCAGUAUACUGACUGUGCAAAGGUAGCAUAAUCAAUUGACUUAUAAUUGAAGUCUGGAAUGAAUGACAGUAUGGGGAGCUACUGUCUCAUGUAGAUACGGAGAACUUGUUUAUGAAGUGAAAAUCCUUCUCACAAUAUAAUAGACGAGAAGACCCUAGAAAUUUUAAGUAAUAUUAGGUAUAUUCCUAGUAAUUUUUCGCUGGGGCGGCGGAGUAGCAUAUAACCUACUUAUACAAACCUGCGCUUUAUGUGGCAAUUGAUAAAUUACUCUAGGGAUAACAGCAUAAUAUUUUAAAGUUUGUGACCUCGAUGUUGGACUAGGACAUAAUAACCUAAAAGGUUUUUUAUAUUGCUCUGUUCGAGCAUAAACUCCUACAUGAUC